AAGCCGAUAUUCUUAGUGCAGUUAUAAAAGGCGCCCUCAUACCCAAGGUUCUUCCUACCUCAUUUUCUUGGAGAAUAAGUUACUCUUAACUAUAAAGAGGGGCCAUCGUUGCUCGCUAGAAUCUGUAGAGGAGAAAGCCAAGCGGGAGAAGAUGAUCGAGGUGGUGUUGAACGAUCGGUUGGGGAAGAAGGUGCGGGUAAAGUGCAACGAGGAUGACACCAUCGGUGAUCUGAAGAAGCUGGUAGCGGCGCAGACUGGAACACGGGCGGACAAGAUCCGCAUACAGAAAUGGUAUAACAUAUACAAGGAUCACAUCACACUUAAGGACUACGAGAUCCACGACGGGAUGGGCCUCGAGCUCUACUACAAUUAGCUCCUUAUUUUUGUGUUACAAUGUGCGUGGAUGUGCAUCCCAUACCAACAUCCUUGAUUGUUUAAAGAUUGAAGGAUGGUGGUCCUCCUGGUCAUGAAGGUCUUUGGUUGGUUGAAUGUCUACGGCAGGUGAUCCUCGAAACUUUAGAAUGAUAUGUUAUUCCACCAAUAAUGGAUUUUUACUGGGCAUAAAUAAUUGUGUACCUGUCACUUAUUAUGUAGCCAUGAUUAUGACAAGACAAACCUAGAACUGGAACUGCUUUUUCAUCCUGUAUGAAUCUUGUCGCUAUUACUGUUCAAUUGUGGCCCAGAAAAGUUUGUUGCUUGCCUUUCCUUCUUUUCCCCCUCAUGUGCUUGCUUUUGAAACUAUUAAAGCUUUAUUUGAGAUGACUUUA